rnacentral:rRNA from 1 species
CUACGGGGCGCACCAGUGGGGAAUAUUGCACAAUGGGCGAAAGCCUGAUGCAGCGACGCCGCGUGAGCGAUGAAGGCCUUCGGGUCGUAAAGCUCUGUCCUCAAGGAAGAAACAUGACGGUACUUGAGGAGGAAGCCCCGGCUAACUACGUGCCAGCAGCCGCGGUAAUACGUAGGGGGCAAGCGUUAUCCGGAAUCACUGGGCGUAAGGGUGCGUAGGCGGUUUUACGAGUCAGGUGUGAAAGGCUAUGGCUCAACCAUAGUAAGCACUGGAAACUGUAUAACUUGAGUGCAGGAGAGGAAAGUGGAAUUCCUAGUGUAGCGGUGAAAUGCGUAGAUAUUAGGAGGAACACCAGUGGCGAAGGCGACUUUCUGGACUGUAACUGACGCUGAGGCACGAAAGCGUGGGGAGCGAACAGGAUUAGAUACCCUCGUAGUC